GAUGUUGAGCCGGGUGUUAGCGGGCUGUUUUGAUGUAGCAGUAGUCGAGGGUGUUAAUCCUUCCAAUAUCU
rnacentral:tRNA from 1 species